UGCAGUCGAACGCACUCUCGUUUAGAUUGAAGGAGCUUGCUCCUGAUUGAUAAACAUUUGAGUGAGUGGCGGACGGGUGAGUAACACGUGGGUAACCUGCCCUAAAGUGGGGGAUAACAUUUGGAAACAGAUGCUAAUACCGCAUAAAACCUAACACCGCAUGGUGUAGGGUUGAAAGAUGGUUUCGGCUAUCACUUUAGGAUGGACCCGCGGUGCAUUAGUUAGUUGGUGAGGUAAAGGCUCACCAAGACCGUGAUGCAUAGCCGACCUGAGAGGGUAAUCGGCCACACUGGGACUGAGACACGGCCCAGACUCCUACGGGAGGCAGCAGUAGGGAAUCUUCCACAAUGGACGAAAGUCUGAUGGAGCAACGCCGCGUGAGUGAAGAAGGUUUUCGGAUCGUAAAACUCUGUUGUUGGAGAAGAAUGUAUCUGAUAGUAACUGAUCAGGUAGUGACGGUAUCCAACCAGAAAGCCACGGCUAACUACGUGCCAGCAGCCGCGGUAAUACGUAGGUGGCAAGCGUUGUCCGGAUUUAUUGGGCGUAAAGCGAGCGCAGGCGGUUUCUUAAGUCUGAUGUGAAAGCCUUCGGCUCAACCGAAGAAGUGCAUCGGAAACUGGGAAACUUGAGUGCAGAAGAGGACAGUGGAACUCCAUGUGUAGCGGUGAAAUGCGUAGAUAUAUGGAAGAACACCAGUGGCGAAGGCGGCUGUCUGGUCUGUAACUGACGCUGAGGCUCGAAAGCAUGGGUAGCAAACAGGAUUAGAUACCCUGGUAGUCCAUGCCGUAAACGAUGAGUGCUAGGUGUUGGAGGGUUUCCGCCCUUCAGUGCCGCAGCUAACGCAUUAAGCACUCCGCCUGGGGAGUACGACCGCAAGGUUGAAACUCAAAGGAAUUGACGGGGGCCCGCACAAGCGGUGGAGCAUGU
rnacentral:rRNA from 2 species